UGCGUAGGCGGGAAAUUAAGUCAGUAGUGAAAUCCCACAGCUUAACUGUGGAACUGUUAUUGAUACUGGUUUUCUUGAAUAUAGUUGAGGUAGGCGGAAUGUGUAAUGUAGCGGUGAAAUGCUUAGAUAUUACACAGAACACCGAUUGCGAAGGCAGCUUACUAAGCUAUGAUUGACGCUGAGGUACGAAAGCGUGGGGAGCGAACAGGAUUAGAUACCCUGGUAGUCC
rnacentral:rRNA from 1 species